ACAGCCUUGCCACCCCUGCUGCAACCCCAGUUGGCGGUAGGAGAGGAAAGGCUUAUACAUUAUGGAUAAUUUGAGAAUUACGACCGCUAAUUUCCAAUGUCGGACUGCAGUGAAUGCAGCAUGAGAUGACGCGAGAGUGACUGAGACUGAUUGUUUUGAAAACCGAAUGGGGCAAAGCGAGGGAGCCAGGGGUGAUGGGGAGAGGAGACACGGGAUGAAACAGAUCCGCCCCGGACUAGAAACAUUCAGAUGACUGAGAGGAACGAUGAGGGGAACAUCUCUACCAUGUCUGCUCUGGCUGACCUUCCUUCACUGCUCUACAUCAGAACAAGCUGCUCUGACUGUGAGUCCCAGCAGAUCUCAGUUCUUUGAAGGAGAAUCUGUGUCUCUGAGCUGUAAGGAGAACAACAGCUCUGCUGGAUGGACUGUUUGGAGGAACAGAACCAGAGGACAGUCUGAGUGUAAAGAUGGAUGGGGGAAUCCAGCUGGUUCUACCUGUACCAUCAGCCACCUCCUCCCAUCAGACAGUGGAGUUUACUGGUGU